rnacentral:rRNA from 1 species
GACGUAGGGCGCGAGCGUUGUCCGGAUUUAUUGGGCGUAAAGAGCUCGUAGGCGGCUUGUCGCGUCGUCCGUGAAAACCAGGGGCUCAACCCCUGGCUUGCGGUCGAUACGGGCAGGCUAGAGUUCGGUAGGGGAGGCUGGAAUUCCUGGUGUAGCGGUGAAAUGCGCAGAUAUCAGGAGGAACACCGGUGGCGAAGGCGGGUCUCUGGGCAGUAACUGACGCUGAGGAGCGAAAGCGUGGGGAGCGAACAGG